CUCCCAUUCCCCUCUUCUCUGUCCCUGGUAGGCUGCCUGGUCCUGCCCCAAACUGCUUCUUUCAGUCUUGCAAGGUAAAAUUUCUGCUAGGCUAUAACUUGCAUCAGUUCAGAGAGUCUGAUAAACAGCACAAGCAACUCAGCUGCCUGGAAGCCACCACAGUGCCAGUAAGGACUGGGGAAUUCUCAAGCAGGAGAAAACACAGCAUCAAACCUUAGGGUCAAGAAGGAGGAGAAUUUGGUUCUUGUCCUUGCUCCCAGAGCUGUUUCAUCAUCACUGGCAGAGGAGGAUAUAAGGAAGACACUGGGGUAAGGGUCCUCACAGCUAUCCACAGCACUGAAGUACAGCACCUCAUACGUUCUGCAGAAUUCCAGAACAAAAGAACCUGCCUUGGUCAGCUGCAUGAGCCAUCGCAGGCAUCUUACAUACUGCCAGAUCCAGAUCCUUCCAACUCUAAGGAUUCUAUGAUUCUAUGAACUAUGCAUGGUGUAUUGGCAAAAGAUGGCCACAUAUGCCCCGUUCUGAGGGCCUGUUCUGAGAUGCUGAAUCCUCCCCAAGGACUCAACAAGCAGCCUAAAGCCCUCACCCAGGGUUCAGGGCUCUGUUCAGGAAGUCAGACAUCAGCAGGUGCUGUGCCAUUUAACCUGUGGGCAACUGUGCUCUUUAUUGGAUUGGAACUGUCAGAUCAGAUCUUUAAAGUUAUUUGUGUUUGUGCUUUGCUCAGCAGUGUGUGCAAGAGAGCAGAAAUGCAAGCUACGUAGAUCUCCAUCCUGUGCAAGUGCACAGCUGAAAUAAUUACCAGAUGGUGAUGAAAGUGGCCCACAAGAGAAUCAUAUAACUCCAUCCUAAACAAGCAAAGAUAAAAUUAUUGUCUCAGAGGUAAAGGGGUAAUAGCAGCAGCCUUCAUUAAAGGAAAAGGAAGCUUUUAAUCUUAUGUACAGGGACUAGUUUCUCUUGCUAGAGAUAAUACCUGUAGGAAUAGAAGAAUCCUAAUGUUCCCAUGCUCCCUUAUGAAAUACUUUAAAAUGUGUUGCUGGAGACUGACUUUAAAUGCCUAUGAAGACAGCUCAUAAGGAGCAUGAAUCAUUCUGAUCUACCAGAACAAUGAACUGAGAUUCUUUUUUUUCAAAUGGAGAUGGUUUCUAUAAAAAUUAUCUUGUUUAUCUCUCAGAUAGGUCACACACAUCUUAACAAAUGGGGGCUUCUUGUAAGCUGAAACAAAUUAUUUGUCAGUUUAUUAUAUAAAUACUCAAAGUUAGUAAUUGAAGAGCUAAACUGUUUCAGCAGAUUUGCAACAAGGAGAAAGGUAUUGGAAUAGCUGAAAGUUUGCAGUUACACUGUAUUACUUCCAGUCACCCAUUUAACUUAAUGAAAUGUCUUAAGUAUAUGUCAGUAGUGAAGAUGACUUUCUCAUUUUCUAAAUGGCAUCUCAAUGUGUGACACUGCCCAACUGGACACUGCCUUUGCUCUCCAAAAUAUGAUAGAAAAGGAAAACAAAAGGAAAGAAAAUUACUCAAGAAGACAUGGGAAGAUGAAAAUCCAAAUGAAUCUGUCUCUGAAAAAGGUGAAUUCAGUAGAGACUGUGCUGUCGCUGCUGGUUUUAUGUAGAGCAUAGUCAGAUAGGAACAAUGAGGACAGCAAGAUUAUAAAACCCAGAUAGGUACCUAGAUAAUCAGACAGACAGCUUAUUUGUUUGCUUGGUUUUUCUUUUUGUUGAUUUGAAGCCAAAGAUCCAAGCUAAGAUCUCUGCAAAGGCAGAGCAGUUUGUAAGUGGUGUUUUCUCACAUAAAGUUGUCUGAGAGGCUAGGGAAGAAAGAUGAUGAGAAAUGGCACUUUUAGUGUUUUUUUUUAAUAAGAUGUAUUUGAACUAUGUUCUCUAUUCAACAUGUAUGCAGAUCAGCCUAAUAAUAAUGUACAUUAUAUUUAUAAAUUUCAAAGAAGAAAAUACUUCAGAGAAAGGAUAAGGUAAGUCUAGGGAGCCUUAAACAAACAUCUUUACAAACAUCUUUCUUUCAGAAGUUUUUUGGAGAAGACACUGAAUUUCAUCAUUAAAACCACAUUUAUAGAAGUUGACAGACUUAAUUUCAAAUGUGGUUCUAUCUCUCAGUCCAAGGGCACACACAUCCUCAUGGUAAAUACCCAUCUCAUUAUUUAUUAAAUCUUAACUGUGCAGAAUGGGUAAAGAUUCAGACCUUUGUUUAAAUUUCCCUGUAAGAAUUAGGUCACUUCUAAUCUUCACAUUUUAAUAACUUCCUCUUCAGAUGAAAUUUAAAUUGCUGAGAACUUUUGUGGGGGAGAAGAUAACUCCCAUAAUCCAUUCCAAGCAUCUCAUUUGAAUAACUUGAGAAAAACAGCAUGGCUUCAAGGAUCACUUGGUGCAGGGGAGCAGGAUUCUGGUGAGUGGCCACAACUCAGUGAGCAGUCUCAUGUUUACCACCAGGCUAGACACAGUUUGCCUUAGAUUUAGGGCUAGGACAAGUAGGAACAUUGACACAGUGUAAUUCAGAACAUCCCUCUGCUAGGCAUGAGCAUAGAUGGUGCAUCCCACUGAGGAAUCUCCAGUCAACAGAGAGAAAUGAGUGAAGAGCCGGCUGUCUCUGUGGCUCUGUUAUGAGUGUACCGUUAUGCAAGAGAUGGAUGAAAAGUACAAUCCCUCAAAAGACAAUAAUAAAUGUGCUUUGGUAAUGCCUGG
ensembl:lncRNA